GACGAACGCUGGCGGCGUGCCUAAUACAUGCAAGUAGAACGCUGAAGAGAGGAGCUUGCUCUUCUUGGAUGAGUUGCGAACGGGUGAGUAACGCGUAGGUAACCUGCCUUGUAGCGGGGGAUAACUAUUGGAAACGAUAGCUAAUACCGCAUAACAAUGGAUGACACAUGUCAUUUAUUUGAAAGGGGCAAUUGCUCCACUACAAGAUGGACCUGCGUUGUAUUAGCUAGUAGGUGAGGUAACGGCUCACCUAGGCGACGAUACAUAGCCGACCUGAGAGGGUGAUCGGCCACACUGGGACUGAGACACGGCCCAGACUCCUACGGGAGGCAGCAGUAGGGAAUCUUCGGCAAUGGGGGCAACCCUGACCGAGCAACGCCGCGUGAGUGAAGAAGGUUUUCGGAUUGUAAAGCUCUGUUGUAAGUCAAGAACGAGUGUGAGAGUGGAAAGUUCACACUGUGACGGUAGCUUACCAGAAAGGGACGGCUAACUACGUGCCAGCAGCCGCGGUAAUACGUAGGUCCCGAGCGUUGUCCGGAUUUAUUGGGCGUAAAGCGAGCGCAGGCGGUUUGAUAAGUCUGAAGUUAAAGGCUGUGGCUCAACCAUAGUUCGCUUUGGAAACUGUCAAACUUGAGUGCAGAAGGGGAGAGUGGAAUUCCAUGUGUAGCGGUGAAAUGCGUAGAUAUAUGGAGGAACACCGGUGGCGAAAGCGGCUCUCUGGUCUGUAACUGACGCUGAGGCUCGAAAGCGUGGGGAGCGAACAGGAUUAGAUACCCUGGUAGUCCACGCCGUAAACGAUGAGUGCUAGGUGUUGGAUCCUUUCCGGGAUUCAGUGCCGCAGCUAACGCAUUAAGCACUCCGCCUGGGGAGUACGACCGCAAGGUUGAAACUCAAAGGAAUUGACGGGGGCCCGCACAAGCGGUGGAGCAUGUGGUUUAAUUCGAAGCAACGCGAAGAACCUUACCAGGUCUUGACAUCCCGAUGCUAUUUCUAGAGAUAGAAAGUUACUUCGGUACAUCGGUGACAGGUGGUGCAUGGUUGUCGUCAGCUCGUGUCGUGAGAUGUUGGGUUAAGUCCCGCAACGAGCGCAACCCCUAUUGUUAGUUGCCAUCAUUCAGUUGGGCACUCUAGCGAGACUGCCGGUAAUAAACCGGAGGAAGGUGGGGAUGACGUCAAAUCAUCAUGCCCCUUAUGACCUGGGCUACACACGUGCUACAAUGGUUGGUACAACGAGUUGCGAGUCGGUGACGGCAAGCUAAUCUCUUAAAGCCAAUCUCAGUUCGGAUUGUAGGCUGCAACUCGCCUACAUGAAGUCGGAAUCGCUAGUAAUCGCGGAUCAGCACGCCGCGGUGAAUACGUUCCCGGGCCU
rnacentral:rRNA from 1 species